GCCCCCUGGACAGAUACUGACACUCAGAUGCGAAAGCGUGGGGAGCAAACAGGAUUAGAUACCCUGGUAGUCCACGCCGUAAACGAUGUCUACUUGGAGGUUGUGCCCUAGAGGCGUGGCUUUCGGAGCUAACGCGUUAAGUAGACCGCCUGGGGAGUACGGUCGCAAGAUUAAAACUCAAAUGAAUUGACGGGGGCCCGCACAAGCGGUGGAGCAUGUGGUUUAAUUCGAUGCAACGCGAAGAACCUUACCUACUCUUGACAUCCAGAGAAUCUAGCGGAGACGCUGGAGUGCCUUCGGGAGCUCUGAGACAGGUGCU
rnacentral:rRNA from 1 species